CCUACGGGAGGCAGCAGUAGGGAAUCUUCCGCAAUGGGCGAAAGCCUGACGGAGCAACGCCGCGUGAGUGAUGAAGGUUUUCGGAUCGUAAAGCUCUGUUGCCAAGGAAGAACGUCUUCUAGAGUAACUGCUAGGAGAGUGACGGUACCUGAGAAGAAAGCCCCGGCUAACUACGUGCCAGCAGCCGCGGUAAUACGUAGGGGGCAAGCGUUGUCCGGAAUUAUUGGGCGUAAAGCGCGCGCAGGCGGUUCUUUAAGUCUGGUGUUUAAACCCGAGGCUCAACUUCGGGUCGCACUGGAAACUGGGGAACUUGAGUGCAGAAGAGGAAAGUGGAAUGCCACGUGUAGCGGUGAAAUGCGUAGAUAUGUGGAGGAACACCAGUGGCGAAGGCGACUCUCUGGGCUGUAACUGACGCUGAGGCGCGAAAGCGUGGGGAGCAAACAGGAUUAGAUACCCGAGUAGUC
rnacentral:rRNA from 1 species